rnacentral:rRNA from 1 species
GAUGAACGCUGGCGGCGUGCCUAAUACAUGCAAGUCGAGCGAACAGACGAGGAGCUUGCUCCUCUGACGUUAGCGGCGGACGGGUGAGUAACACGUGGAUAACCUACCUAUAAGACUGGGAUAACUUCGGGAAACCGGAGCUAAUACCGGAUAAUAUAUUGAACCGCAUGGUUCAAUAGUGAAAGACGGUUUUGCUGUCACUUAUAGAUGGAUCCGCGCCGCAUUAGCUAGUUGGUAAGGUAACGGCUUACCAAGGCAACGAUGCGUAGCCGACCUGAGAGGGUGAUCGGCCUCACUGGAACUGAGACACGGUCCAGACUCCUACGGGAGGCAGCAGUAGGGAAUCUUCCGCAAUGGGCGAAAGCCUGACGGAGCAACGCCGCGUGAGUGAUGAAGGUCUUCGGAUCGUAAAACUCUGUUAUUAGGGAAGAACAAAUGUGUAAGUAACUAUGCACGUCUUGACGGUACCUAAGCAGAAAGCCACGGCUAACUACGU